GCUUAGAGUUUGAUCCUGGCUCAGAUUGAACGCUGGCGGCACGCCUAAUACAUGCAAGUCGGACGGGGGUAGCAAUACCUUAGUGGGCGGACGGGUGAGUAAAACAUAGGAAUCUGCCUUGUAGUGGGGGACAACAGUUCGAAAGGACUGCUAAUACCGCAUAUUCUCUGAGGAGGAAAGGGGGGUAGUAAUACCUCUCGCUAUAAGAUGAGCCUAUGUCAGAUUAGCUAGUUGGUGGGGUAAAGGCUCACCAAGGCGACGAUCUGUAAUUGGUCUGAGAGGACGACCAGUCACACUGGGACUGAGACACGGCCCAGACUCCUACGGGAGGCAGCAGUAGGGAAUAUUGGACAAUGGGGGAAACCCUGAUCCAGCGAUGCCGCGUGUGUGAAGAAGGCCUUAGGGUUGUAAAGCACUUUUAAUCGGGAAGAAAAGCUGUGUGUUAAUACCAUGCAGUGUUGACGUUACUGAUAGAAAAAGCACCGGCUAACUCUGUGCCAGCAGCCGCGGUAAUACAGAGGGUGCAAGCGUUAAUCGGAAUUACUGGGCGUAAAGCGUGCGUAGGCGGUAAAUUAAGUCUGAUGUGAAAUCCCCGAGCUUAACUUGGGAACUGCAUUAGAUACUGGUUUGCUAGAGUAAGGUAGAGGAAAGCGGAAUUCCAGGUGUAGCGGUGAAAUGCGUAGAUAUCUGGAGGAACACCGGUGGCGAAGGCGGCUUUCUGGACUUAUACUGACGCUGAGGCACGAAAGCGUGGGGAUCAAACAGGAUUAGAUACCCUGGUAGUCCACGCCCUAAACGAUGGAACUGGUUGUUGGGAGAGACUAAUCUCUUAGUAACGAAGCUAACGCGAUAAGUUCCCCGCCUGGGAAGUACGGUCGCAAGACUAAAACUCAAAUGAAUUGACGGGGGCCCGCACAAGCGGUGGAGUAUGUGGUUUAAUUCGAUGCAACGCGAAGAACCUUACCUGGUCUUGACAUGUCUGGAAUCCUUGAGGGAUCGAGGAGUGCCUUCGGGAACCAGAACACAGGUGCUGCAUGGCUGUCGUCAGCUCGUGUCGUGAGAUGUUGGGUUAAGUCCCGCAACGAGCGCAACCCUUAUCUUUAGUUGCCAGCAUUCAGUUGGGCACUCUAGAGAGACUGCCGGUGAUAAACCGGAGGAAGGCGGGGAUGACGUCAAGUCAUCAUGGCCCUUAUGACCAGGGCUACACACGUACUACAAUGGUCGGUACAAAGGGUCGCUAAGCCGCGAGGUGGUGCUAAUCUCAUAAAACCGGUCGUAGUCCGGAUCGGAGUCUGCAACUCGACUCCGUGAAGUCGGAAUCGCUAGUAAUCGCGGAUCAGCAUGCCGCGGUGAAUACGUUCCCGGGCCUUGUACACACCGCCCGUCACACCAUGGGAGUGAACGGUACCAGAAGUAGGUAGCUUAACCGCAAGGAGGGCGCUUACCACGGUAUAGUUCAUGACUGGGGUGAAGUCGUAACAAGGUAACCAAGCC
rnacentral:rRNA from 1 species